rnacentral:tRNA from 1 species
GGCCGCAUAGUUUAAUGGAUAGAACUACGGAUUUCGGCUCCGUCAGUGAGGGUUCGAAUCCUUCUGUGGUCACUA